rnacentral:rRNA from 1 species
ACAUCCACGGAAGUUUUCAGAGAUGAGAAUGUGCCUUCGGGAACCGUGAGACAGGUGCUGCAUGGCUGUCGUCAGCUCGUGUUGUGAAAUGUUGGGUUAAGUCCCGCAACGAGCGCAACCCUUAUCCUUUGUUGCCAGCGGUCCGGCCGGGAACUCAAAGGAGACUGCCAGUGAUAAACUGGAGGAAGGUGGGGAUGACGUCAAGUCAUCAUGGCCCUUACGACCAGGGCUACACACGUGCUACAAUGGCGCAUACAAAGAGAAGCGACCUCGCGAGAGCAAGCGGACCUCAUAAAGUGCGUCGUAGUCCGGAUUGGAGUCUGCAACUCGACUCCAUGAAGUCGGAAUCGCUAGUAAUCGUGGAUCAGAAUGCCACGGUGAAUACGUUCCCGGGCCUUGUACAUACCGCCCGUCACACCAUGGGAGUGGGUUGCAAAAGAAGUAGGUAGCUUAACCUUCGGGAGGGCGCUUACCACUUUGUGAUUCAUGACUGGGGUGAAGUCGUAACAAGGUAGGCGUAGUGCU